CGGUAGCUCAGUGGAUAGAGCGUCUGCCUCCGGAGCAGAAGGUCGCAGGUUCGAAUCCUGUCCGG
rnacentral:tRNA from 1 species